rnacentral:rRNA from 1 species
ACGGAGGGUGCGAGCGUUGUUCGGAAUUACUGGGCGUAAAGCGCAUGUAGGCGGCAGCGCAAGUCGGGCGUGAAAUCCCACGGCUCAACCGUGGAAGUGCACUCGAAACUGCGCAGCUAGAGUCCUGGAGAGGAAGGUGGAAUGCUUGGUGCAGAGGUGAAAUUCGUAGAUAUUCGGAAGGACACCAGUGGCGAAGGCGGCUCACUGGACCGGUAUUGACGCUGAGGUGCGAAAGCGUGGGGAGCAAACAGGA